rnacentral:rRNA from 1 species
UACAGAGCCCACAAACGUUAUCCGGAUUCAUUGGGCGUAAAGCGUCCGCAGGUGGUGUGUUAAGUCAGUGGUCAAAUCCUUGGGCCUAACCCAGGGACUGCCGUUGAUACUAACACACUCGAGGCUGGAAGAGGCAAGCGGAAUUCUCGGUGUAGUCGUAAUAAGCGCUGAUAUCGAGAAGAACACCAAAGGCGAAGGCAGCUUGCUAGUACAUGCCUGACACUCAUGGACGAAAGCGUGGGGAGCGAAUGGG